rnacentral:lncRNA from 1 species
AAACUUAAUCUUUUCACUUGUCCAUGAAUUGCUCAACAUGGGAAGGAAUGAAAACUUUCAAACUAUUUUUUGUGGAUUUUAAAUUUUUAUUAUCAAACUUCAUUCAUCAGGUAAUGUUCUUUAUAAUUAUGCUUGUUGAUAAAAUCAUGAAAACAUUGCAUAUUUCAGAGAUAUAUGAAGAAACGAUCCUAUUAACCUUUUAGGAUCCCGAGAAGUUUAAUCUAGAUAAACUUAUUG